GCCUCCCAAAGUGCCCGGGCGAAAGAAAUACUGCCACAUGCCAUGACACGGAUGAGCCAGAAAACACUACGCUAAGUGAAAGAAGCCAGUCAGUAAAGAAUAAUACUGAGCAAUUCCACUCUAUAAGGUGUCUAGAGUAGUAAAAUUCAUAGAGACAGAAAGUAAAUGGUGGUUGCCAGGCACUGGGGGAAAGGGGAAAUGGGAGUUACUGUUUAAUGUGUCAGUAUUUCCGUUUUGCAAGUUGAAAAGAUUCUGGAGCUGGAGGGUAGUGAUUGUUAUAUAACAAUGUGAAUGUACUCACUGCCACUGAACUGUACAUUUAAAAAUGGUUAAGAUGGUAAAUAUUAUGUUGUGUAUUUUAUCACAAUUUUAAAAAAAAUUAAGAAAAUCAAGAUGAUAUCAAAUCACAGUUAAAUAUGAGUUUCAGAAAUAGCUUGUUCGGUUUGUGUUGCUACAAAGAGCCCCAUGUGAGUGAAAUACUUCUAAGUGUACAGAUUACAUCCUUUGGAAAAAUGAGCAAGUAAAUUCACAAGUAAUUUUGCAUCUGUAUUCUCAAACAAUGUGACCGCACUGCCUUAGUUGCCUGUUUUUCUUUCAAACUAUUCAUUUACAAGAUCACUCAAGAAAUGUUACUCAGCUAAGUGGGAGGCUAUGACUGGAAAACCUGUUCUGCCUUAACCCUGGCCUGGGGGAUGCUUUGAAAAAUGGCUGUGGUGCAUGGAGCACUCUAAGGAAAACACUGAGGGGUGUUAUCAUCCUGUCUUAAGGCACUGUGAUCUGUGCAGAGCUCUGCCCUGGGGCAGCUGGGCAAAGAGCAGGUGCAUCCAAGGCUUGGCCUGUGGCCUGGAUGACGUGGAACCCCCGUUACAAUAGCCUGCAACAGCACAGGAGUAGUGGCUGUCGGGGGAGCUUCAU
rnacentral:lncRNA from 10 species